AUCCAGUAGGCGAGGGAUUCCGACCGCGGAUGGAGGCGGGGGACCCACCAGGUCCGCCGAGACGGGACCGGAGCCGUGUACGGCUCCUUGGGGUGAAGCCGAUGUCGUCUCAACGGAGAACGACGCUGGCCGGGUUACCUCUCCAACCCGAACCCGACAGCUGACCUCGCAGGCGUUAACCGAGAGGAAUC
rnacentral:sRNA from 1 species